AAAAAUUUGUGCAGUUUAUGGACCCGAUACAGUUUCCAUUUCCACCGCACAACGAUGGUUUCAACGUUUUCGCCUGUCGUCGAAAAUUGCGAUAAAAUCGCUGAAUUGGUCGAAAGAGACCGGCAUAGUAGCAGCCGUAGCAUCGGUCAAGAGCUGGGCAUGAGUCAUCAAAAAUUCAUUUCAAUUUCAAUAAAAAAAAAAUU